CGAGAGACUCUUCUGCGCGGUAUGCAAGGUGGGGGAGGUAUUGACUUACUGGAGGCUGCGUCGGAAGCGGAGAUGCUCUUCCCCCUUGCAAGGCGUGUCCGCGAGGCAACGGCAGGGAAGGUGAUCGGCUGCCACUGCUCCCGGUGAAGUUCGCCGGUUCGUGUUCGGCUAAAGCGGCGGAAAACAAAAGGGAGACGCUGGCGUUAUGUCUUGGUCCUAAAGUUAGCUCUGCGCCGCAACAAAAGGGAGCGUCUGAGGAGUGACCACGUCGGUCAGG